rnacentral:rRNA from 1 species
GACGAACGCUGGCGGCGUGCUUAACACAUGCAAGUCGAACGGAAAGGCCCCUUUGGGGGUACUCGAGUGGCGAACGGGUGAGUAACACGUGAGUAACCUGCCCUUGACUUCGGGAUAACUUCAGGAAACUGGGGCUAAUACCGGAUAGGAAUCCUUGCUGCAUGGUGGGGGUUGGAAAGCUUCGGGGGUUUUGGAUGGACUCGCGGCUUAUCAGCUUGUUGGGGGGGUAGUGGCUUACCAAGGCUUUGACGGGUAGCCGGCCUGAGAGGGCGACCGGCCACAUUGGGACUGAGAUACGGCCCAGACUCCUACGGGAGGCAGCAGUGGGGAAUAUUGCACAAUGGGCGGAAGCCUGAUGCAGCAACGCCGCGUGCGGGAUGACGGCCUUCGGGUUGUAAACCGCUUUCAGCAGGGGCGAAGCUUGUGGUGACGGUACCUGCAGAAGAAGCACCGGCUAACUACGUG